ACUCUUUCGCCACGGGCGGGGUUGCACCAUCCGGCAGGGCGGGGCCCGGCCAUGGCGACCGCGGAGCCCAGCGGGCGCGCGUUGCGGUUGUCUACCCCGGGACCCCGGCCCAGCGGGGCUCGGGACCGCGCGCCGGGAGCUGCGGGGCCACCCUCCGGGCAGAUCGGUAAUAGAGCCCUCCGUCUGGGGGAGCGCACCCCCGCGGCCGUGGAAAAGCGGGGGCCAUACAUGGUGACGCGCGCACCCUCCAUUCAAGCCAAGCUGCAGAAGCACCGGGACCUGGCCAAGGCCGUUCUGCGGAGAAAAGGCAUGCUGGGGGCCUCGCCGAACCGCCCAGACUCUUCAGGGAAAAGGUCAGUGAAGUUUAACAAGGGCUAUACUGCUCUUAGCCAGAGUCCAGAUGAAAACCUGGUGUCCCUCGACUCUGACAGGCCCUUCAUGUACAUUCCAGGGCCGUUCUCUUCUGAACAAUAUCCCUUCCCAGGAUGGCUUGGUUAGAAGACUCAUAGUGAUGGGGAGCUGGGAUCCAGAUACUCCUCCGGGUAUUCAUCUGCAGAGCAGGUGAACCAGGAUGUGAGCCGGCAGCUGCUUCAGGAUGGGUAUCACCUGGAUGAGAUUCCAGAUGACGAGGACUUGGACCUCAUCCCCCCUAAGCCCAUGGCCUCUUCAACAUGCUCCUGCUGCUGGUGCUGUCUUGGGGACUCUUCUUCCUGUACCCUCCAGUAGACAUUACCCUCCAAGGUGGGCCCUGCUCACCAUGAGGCCUACAGAGCCCUGUUGGCCACUCAUAGCUCACACAGUGCAGUGAGCACUGAAGUCACUGACCCCUAGAAAGUGACCUGCAGGUAGCCCUUACCUGUUGCUUCUCAGGCCAGAGGCCCCCAUCUGGGCUGUGGGCUGAUAGGUAGAAUUCUGUAGUUUUCCUCUGCUGUUGGAGCAGAGUUUGGAGAAGUCACUUUAAUAAGGGCAAGACAGAAAAUUCUGGUUCUUAUGGUGGGUGACAAAGGUGGCUAAGGAAAACACUUGCAGACAGCUUGAUUGGUAUUUGUCAUAGUGCUUCAGGGAGGCAAAAAGGGAGCUCUUGUGCCCAGGCUGUGCUAGAUAGUGUUGAAUGGAGGCAGAAAAUAGCACUUUAUGGUUUAUUAUAGCUGGCAAUCCAAAAAAGAAACUGUUUGAGACCAGUUCGAGAAAUUCCGUUUGCUCUAUUCUUCCUAGCUCUAAGAUGGUUUGCAGGCUUGACCUUCAAGACAGCAUAAAGUGAGUCCUUUUGUCCCUCUUCAGGUUGCACCUGUCUAACUAUGACAGGGAUCAUAGCAGGUUGCUUAAUGAUACAGCAGGAUCCUGGCUUCCAGAAUCCCUGGACCUGGGGCAUCCCCAACUGGUCCAACCGUCCGGGUGAGUUUAGUGAUUCUGGUUUGCCCUUCCCUAGUUAGAGAAAAACUGCUCUGACAUGUUCAUAUUUAUUUAUUUGUAUUUCCUUGGUCUGGGUGAGUUUCUUCACCCAGUCUUUGAGCUAAAGAUUAGGUCGAAGGUACUGGGGCUGGCCCCAGAAGCCUGCAGUUUUUAUUAUUACCAGCAGAGGGAGCUACAGGGAGCAGUCCGGUGCCUUCCUAUUGUUUACUUUUUAAACUUUUGAGAAGUAGCAAUGGACUCGUGAGAGUGGGUAUACAGCUGUGUGGGCUUUGUCCUAGACUGAGGCUUACAGACAGGAAGGGUAAGAGAGACCUAAGCCAGCUCCUAGACCCUUGCCUGAGGAAAUCAGUCCACCAGUGUAGAGGGCCUCCCUUCACUCCAGCAUGGACCAUUCUAUUGCCAGAUUCUUCUGGUCACAGCAUGGGCCUUACUGGAUACUCAGGAUUGGGCUUUAAGCAGACCUCUGGGUGUGACACAGCCUCUUUCAGCCCCCAGCCCAAACAGCAGAAAUAGGCAUAAUUUCUGCUGUGACACCCCCUACCCACAAAUUGGAGAGUAUAUCUUGCUAUACUCUAUACCAAGCCUCUUUCUAGAAUUUUUCCAACAGGUUUUGUUUUGUUUUUUGGCUUAACUCAGAACCAUGGUGAGCGUUCUGCUUUGUUUUGUUGGAGACAGGGUCUCUGUCACCCAGGCUGGAGUGCAGUGGUGUAAUCACAGCUCACUGCAGCCUCAACCUCCCAGGCCCAAGCAGUCCUCCCACAUGGUGAGCUUUGAAUGGGCAUAGACAGGGUUCCCAGCCCAAUAGUCGGGAUUGGGGUAUAGGUUCUACAUGGGAAAGUAUCCAGUCUCUUGCUUUACUCAGUGUCCUGUGACCACCAGAGGCAUGAGAGGGACAACACACUCUUUUCGCUCUACCACAAGGGGUGACUAGAAGAUGAGCAAGUCUAAUAAAAAGAUACGGCCUUAUUUGUUAUUUGUCUGACAACCAUCCUUACGAUGGUAAUCCUGUGAGUGCCUGAUGGACAUCUAUCUUUGUGUUUUUCUCAAACCAUGGAAGGUUGAGAGGAAUAUACAGUAUCUGGGGGCUGACUUACUCUACUAGCUAGGAGCAUCACAGCAGAGAGAUAGGACAGAGACCAGAGUCAUGCCAGCUUGGGGUCUUGGGAAGAGAGGCAGAUGGUUACUCUGUUCUGGAAUGGGACUCUGCAGCUCUAUGCAGUGGCCAACAUUCUGAGCACUUUGUGCAAAUGCUUGUAGAGCUCAAGAACAUCUCCAUCCAGAACCCCUUCCCCAUCUGCAGAGACCAUGUCCAGGCCUUUCUUGUGUCUGCAGAGGUGAAGUGCACAUGUGGAAAGGGAUCAAAUGUAGCACAGUGUAAAGAAAGACAGCAACACAGGUAGAGGGACCCAGUGUGUGCUGGGAGGUGGCUGUGGAAGGUAAGUAUAGACCUACAUCUCUGUUGGGGAGGUGGUCAGGGCAGAAUGGCCUGGGUGUUUAGCAGCUUCUAGGGGUGAGGGUGGCAGGACCCCAAAACCAAGGCCCUCUGCAUCGUUGUUGUAAUAAUCAGCUCUGGCAUAUUCAGCUGCAACUGUCCCUGAAGAAGAGGUUUCUGAGCUGGCUGACCCCAUGUAGGAGGGUGUUACCUUGUAGAAAAAGCUGGAGGGACCUGGUGGGACAGUGCAGUGAGGCAGGGUAGAAAUGGUCAGUUGUUUAGGGCCAGUGGCCACAUACCAAAAUACCACCAAUGUGCCCAGGGCCAAACUGCCUUAAUUCUGAGUGCUGUGUGUUCUGCAGGUGACAGUUUCCUGAGGAGAGGGGUGUAUCCAGGCUUACCUCCCAGCAGGAGUGGUACCAUAUGGUGUUUAUGUACUACUCUAUAGAACUCUUGGCUUGCACUUCUACAGCUCUGUACAUUUAUAAGAAUAAAUGCAAUCACACUA